rnacentral:rRNA from 1 species
CCUACGGGGGGCAGCAGUGAGGAAUAUUGGUCAAUGGACGCAAGUCUGAACCAGCCAAGUAGCGUGCAGGAUGACGGCCCUCCGGGUUGUAAACUGCUUUUAGUUGGGAAUAAAAUGGGGCUCGUGAGCCCCGUAUUGUAUGUACCAUCAGAAAAAGGACCGGCGAAUUCCGUGCCAGCAGCCGCGGUAAUACGGAAGGUCCGGGCGUUAUCCGGUUUUUUUGGGUUUAAAGGGAGCGUAGGCCGGCUUUUAAGUCAGCUGUGAAAGGCCGCGGCUCAACCGUGGAAUUGCAGUUGAAACUGGAGGGCUUGAGUGCGCAGAGGGAUGGCGGAAUUCGUGGUGUAGCGGUGAAAUGCUUAGAUAUCAUGAAGAACUCCGAUCGCGAAGGCAGGUGACGGGAGUGCAACUGACGCUGAGGCUCGAAAGUGCGGGUAUCGAACAGGAUUAGAUACCCUUGUAGUC